UACAGAGACUGCAAGCGUUAUUCGGAUUCACUGGGCGUAAAGGGUGCGCAGGCGGUCGGGUGUGUCAGAUGUGAAAUCCCGAGGCUCAACCUCGGAACUGCGUCUGAAACUACUCGACUAGAGUACUGGAGAGGGUAACGGAAUUCACGGUGUAGCAGUGAAAUGCGUUGAGAUCGGAAGGAACGCCCGUGGCGAAAGCGAGAUCCUGGACGUUUUCUGACGCUGAGACGCGAAAGCUAGGGUAGCGAACGGG
rnacentral:rRNA from 1 species